AACGCGAAGAACCUUACCUGGGCUCGAACGGCUUAAGACCAUCCUUGGAAACAGGGACUUCCCGCAAGGGACUUGAGUCGAGGUGCUGCAUGGCUGUCGUCAGCUCGUGUCGUGAGAUGUUGGGUUAAGUCCCGCAACGAGCGCAACCCUUGUCCUGUGUUGCCACUCCCCUUAAAAGGAAGCACUCGCAGGAGACCGCCAGCGAUAAGCUGGAGGAAGGUGGGGAUGAUGUCAAGUCAUCAUGGCCUUUAUGUCCAGGGCUACACACGUGCUACAAUGGACGGUACAAACCGCUGCAAACCCGCGAGGGGGAGCUAAUCGGAAAAAACCGUUCUCAGUUCGGAUCGCAGGCUGCAACUCGCCUGCGUGAAGCUGGAAUCGCUAGUAAUGGCGUAUCAGAAUGAUGCCGUGAAUACGUUCCCGGGCCUUGUA
rnacentral:rRNA from 1 species